GCCUAGCCGUAACACACAAUUAAAUCACCAAUUGUUCGCCAAACAACUACGAGCCAUACUUGAAACUUAAAAGACUUGACGGUACUUCAUCACGACCUAGAGGAGCCUGUCUAAUAACCGACAAUCCACGAUUAACCCAACCCCUUCUUGCCCAACAGUCUAUAUACCGCCGUCGCCAGCUUACCUUGUAAAAGAAAUAAAGUGAGCUAAAUAAUACAACAUUAAAACGACAGGUCGAGGUGUAACCUAUGAAGGGGCCAAGAUGGGCUACAUUCUCCCCGAGAAUACGAAUAACACUAUGAAACUAGUAUUUGAAGGCGGAUUUAGUAGUAAGCUAAGAAUAAAAUACUUAACUGAACAUAACGCAAUGAAGUGCGUACACACCGCCCGUCAUCCCUGCCACCACAAUAUAAACCUUUAUAAACUAACCCAAAAAUCAAUACAGGGCAAGUCGUAACAUGGUAAGUGUACUGGAAAGUGUACUUAGAAA
rnacentral:rRNA from 1 species